rnacentral:snRNA from 1 species
GUGCUCGCUUCGGCAGCACAUAUACUAAAAUUGGAACGAUAUAGAGAAGAUUAGCAUGGCCCCUGUGCAAGGAUGACACACAAAUUCGUGAAGCGUUCCAUAUUUUU